rnacentral:rRNA from 1 species
AGAACGAACGCUGGCGGCAUGCCUAAUACAUGCAAGUCGAACGAACUCUUCGGAGUUAGUGGCGCACGGGUGCGUAACGCGUGGGAAUCUGCCCCUUGGUUCGGAAUAACAGUUGGAAACGACUGCUAAUACCGGAUGAUGACGAAAGUCCAAAGAUUUAUCGCCAAGGGAUGAGCCCGCGUAGGAUUAGCUAGUUGGUGAGGUAAAGGCUCACCAAGGCAACGAUCCUUAGCUGGUCUGAGAGGAUGAUCAGCCACACUGGGACUGAGACACGGCCCAGACUCCUACGGGAGGCAGCAGUAGGGAAUAUUGGACAAUGGGCGAAUGCCUGAUCCAGCAAUGCCGCGUGAGUGAUGAAGGCCUUAGGGUUGUAAAGCUCUUUUACCCGAGAUGAUAAUGACAGUAUCGGGAGAAUAAGCCCC